rnacentral:rRNA from 1 species
UACGUAGGGGGCAAGCGUUGUCCGGAUUUAUUGGGCGUAAAGAGCGUGUAGGCGGUUUGGUAGGUCCGUUGUGAAAACUCGAGGCUCAACCUCGAGACGCCGAUGGAAACCAUCAGACUAGAGUCCGGAAGAGGAGAGUGGAAUUCCUGGUGUAGCGGUGAAAUGCGCAGAUAUCAGGAAGAACACCUGUGGCGAAAGCGGCGCACUGGACCGCAACUGACGCUGAGGCGCGAAAGCUAGGGGAGCAAACAGG